rnacentral:rRNA from 1 species
AGAGAGAGACAUGCGCGCAUAUCAAUAAGCGGAGGAAAAGAAACUAACAGGAUUCCCCUAGUAACGGCGAGUGAAGCGGGAAGAGCUCAAAUUUGAAAUCUUAAAGGGUUUCCCUUUACGAAUUGUAGUUUAAAGAAGUGUUUUCUGUUGAGGUUUUGGUAAAAGUUCUUUGGAAUAGGACAUCAUAGAGGGUGAGAAUCCCGUAUUUGACCUUUACUUUCAACUUUGUGAUACACUUUCAAAGAGUCGGAUUGUUUGGGAAUGCAGUCCAAAAUGGGUGGUAAAUUUCAUCUAAAGCUAAAUAUUGGCGAGAGACCGAUAGCGAACAAGUACCGUGAGGGAAAGAUGAAAAGAACUUUGAAAAGAGAGUUAAACAGUACGUGAAAUUGUCAAAAGGGAAGCGUUUGACACCAGUGUUGUUUUUCUGAAAAUCAAUUAAAGAACUGUUUAUGCUAAGUUGUUUAGACUUUAUCAGCUAACUGUUUAGUUUUGAGCUUUUCUUUAAUGCACUUUUCAGUUAACAAGUCAACAUCAAUUUCUUUUGCUGUAAAAAAGCUUGAGGAAGGUGGCUUGAGAUUCGUCUUAAGUGUUUAUAGCCUCUUGCCUAUGCAGUCGGAGAGAUUGAGGUCUGCAGCGUAGAUCCUUCGGGGCUAAAUGCAUUUGUGCUAAGUUAUAGCAUUUUAUAGACAACUUGUUGACUAUGAUUUGUCUUGUAGCUUACUCGCUUAUGUUAUUUUACCUACGCUUAGGAUGUUGACGCAUGAGAUAUACGC